AGGGUGAACGCUGGCGGCGUGCCUAACACAUGCAAGUCGAGCGGUGCAGUUUGAAGCUUCGGUGGAAAGCUGCAUAGCGGCGGACGGGUGAGGAAACGUAGGAACGUGCCCCUUGGAGUUGGAUAGCCACGGGAAACUGUGGGUAAACCGACAUAGACUCGAGAGAGUAAAGGCCGAAAGGCGCCAAGGGAGCGGCCUGCGGCCCAUCAGGUAGUUGGUAGUGUAAAGGACUACCAAGCCGACGACGGGUAGCCGGUCUGAGAGGAUGGCCGGCCACAAGGGCACUGAGAGACGGGCCCUACUCCUACGGGAGGCAGCAGUGGGGGAUUUUGGACAAUGGGCGAAAGCCUGAUCCAGCGACGCCGCGUGGAGGACGAAGCCCUUCGGGGUGUAAACUCCUUUUCUCAGGGAAAAAAGGAUGAUGGUACCUGAGGAAUAAGCCCCGGCUAACUACGUG
rnacentral:rRNA from 1 species